CAUAAUAUUUUUGUAAUAUUUAACUACAAAUACUUUGCAUACUAUUAUACAAGACGGUUAUCCUGCCAGCCAAGACUACCCCCACCAGACAACUUUUGUUGGAUUUAUUAUCCAGGCAACAAAUUGGCAACAAAAAACAAAUUUUGUCGCUUUAACACUACGGCAAUAAACCCGGCGAGUUGCCUAUUUGUUGCCAUUGAUGAUCGUUGCCUAUCUCUCAUGUUUUUAUGAAGGCAUCAAAAAAAUUCUAUUUGUUUUUUGUUUUUUUUUUUUCUUUCUUUUUGACGAGACUUCUUUUCUAACAUUUCGUCAAUUCGAAAAAAUUAUUUUAAUUGUUGACGCAAAAUGUUUGUUAAAAAAACUAUCAUAGUUUGACAGGGUUUGAAAAAUACGUAUUUAUUUCAUAAUUAAAAUUAUUUUUCUACACUAACUUCUACCUUAAAGCAAUAUUCUAUAAUUUUACAGAUUUGAAUAAAACGAUUUUAAAGCAGAAACAGCACAAAGGUAGGAUAUGUGCACAUUGCUUGCUCUGAGCCGGCUGAUGGAAAAUUAGAAAAGGAUAGCUAUACGUUUUCUUAUGAAGUAAUCCUAAUGUGUGCAACAAAGAUGAAUGAUCACGCAUACAUGGAGAAAGUGGGUGAAAUCUUGGACGCUCUUUAUUGCCUAUCCUGUUACCCAAUUUUUUAAGUCCGAGUUUACUCGGGGAUACUUUUAGUCGACGAAGAAGGCUGCGUACUGUGUCGCUGCGCUCAUUCGACACGUUUUGCACUUCUAUUCGAAAAGGAUAAUAUAUGUAAUUAGAUUGUUCAUUAGAAAGGGAAGAAUUGAUGUUUAAUCAAAUGUAAAAAUAUAUAAAGAAGUUGAUAAACACAAGCUGCGUUUACACUAA